rnacentral:rRNA from 1 species
CGACAGCAAUAUGUAGGUCAGGCUGAAGGUCUUACCUGAAUCGCUGAGAGGAGGUGCAUGGCCGUCGUCAGUUCGUACUGUGAAGCAUCCUGUUAAGUCAGGCAACGAGCGAGACCCGUGCCCACUGUUGCCAGCAUAUCCUUCGGGAUGAUGGGUACUCUGUGGGGACCGCCGCUGCUAAAGCGGAGGAAGGUGCGGGCUACGGUAGGUCAGUAUGCCCCGAAUCUCCAGGGCUACACGCGGGCUACAAUGACCGGGACAAUGGGUCCCUACCCCGAAAGGGGUUGGUAAUCUCAUAAACCCGGCCUUAGUUCGGAUCGAGGGCUGCAACUCGCCCUCGUGAAGCUGGAAUCCGUAGUAAUCGCGUUUCAAUAUAGCGCGGUGAAUACGUCCCUGCUCCUU